rnacentral:rRNA from 1 species
GGAAUGCCUUACACAUGCAAGUCGAACGGCAGCACGGACUUCGGUCUGGUGGCGAGUGGCGAACGGGUGAGUAAUGUAUCGGAACGUGCCUAGUAGCGGGGGAUAACUACGCGAAAGCGUAGCUAAUACCGCAUACGCCCUACGGGGGAAAGCAGGGGAUCGCAAGACCUUGCACUAUUAGAGCGGCCGAUAUCGGAUUAGCUAGUUGGUGGGGUAACGGCUCACCAAGGCGACGAUCCGUAGCUGGUUUGAGAGGACGACCAGCCACACUGGGACUGAGACACGGCCCAGACUCCUACGGGAGGCAGCAGUGGGGAAUUUUGGACAAUGGGGGAAACCCUGAUCCAGCCAUCCCGCGUGUGCGAUGAAGGCCUUCGGGUUGUAAAGCACUUUUGGCAGGAAAGAAACGUCAUGGGCUAAUACCCCGUGAAACUGACGGUACCUGCAGAAUAAGCACCGGCUAACUACGUGCCAGCAGCCGCGGUAAUACGUAGGGUGCAAGCGUUAAUCGGAAUUACUGGGCGUAAAGCGUGCGCAGGCGGUUCGGAAAGAAAGAUGUGAAAUCCCAGAGCUUAACUUUGGAACUGCAUUUUUAACUAC